UACGUAGGUGGCGAGCGUUAUCCGGAAUUAUUGGGCGUAAAGGGUGCGUAGGCGGCCGUUUAAGUUCAAGGUGAAAGCGUGGGGCUCAACCCCAUAAAGCCUUGGAUACUGGGCGGCUGGAGUACUGGAGAGGGUAGUGGAAUUCCAUGUGUAGCGGUAAAAUGCGUAGAUAUAUGGAGGAACACCGGAGGCGAAGGCGGCUACCUGGACAGUAACUGACGCUGAGGCACGAAAGCGUGGGGAGCAAAUAGG
rnacentral:rRNA from 1 species